UACGUAGGGCGCAAGCGUUGUCCGGAAUUAUUGGGCGUAAAGAGCUCGUAGGCGGUCUGUCACGUCUGCCGUGAAAACCCGAGGCUUAACCUCGUGGCUUGCGGUGGAUACGGGCAGACUAGAGGUAGGUAGGGGAGAACGGAAUUCCCGGUGUAGCGGUGAAAUGCGCAGAUAUCGGGAGGAACACCGGUGGCGAAGGCGGUUCUCUGGGCCUUACCUGACGCUGAGGAGCGAAAGCGUGGGGAGCGAACAGG
rnacentral:rRNA from 1 species